UAGGGAAUCUUCGGCAAUGGACGAAAGUCUGACCGAGCAACGCCGCGUGAGUGAAGAAGGUUUUCGGAUCGUAAAACUCUGUUGUUAGCGAAGAACAAGGACGUUAGUAACUGAACGUCCCCUGCCGGUAUCUAACCAGAAAGCCACGCCUAACUACGUUCCAGCAGCCGCGGUAAUACGUAGGUGGCAAGCGUUGUCCGGAUUUAUUGGGCGUAAAGCGAGCGCAGGCGGUUUCUUAAGUCUGAUGUGAAAGCCCCCGGCUCAACCGGGGGGGGAAAUUGGAAACUGGGGGAGUUGAGUGCAGAAGAAGGGAGUGGGAUUCCAUUUGGAGCUGUGAAAUGCGUAGAUAUAUGGAGGAACUCCAGUGAAAAAGGCGGCUAUCUGGUCUGUAACAGACGCUGUGGCUCGAAAGCGUGGGGAGCAAACAGG
rnacentral:rRNA from 1 species